UCUAAACGACUCUCGGCAACGGAUAUCUCGGCUCUCGCAUCGAUGAAGAACGUAGCGAAAUGCGAUACUUGGUGUGAAUUGCAGAAUCCCGUGAACCAUCGAGUCUUUGAACGCAAGUUGCGCCCGAAGCCAUCUGGCCGAGGGCACGCCUGCCUGGGCGUCAC
rnacentral:rRNA from 1 species